GACAGAGGGUGCAAACGUUGCUCGGAAUCACUGGGCGUAAAGGGCGUGUAGGCGGGAAGGAAAGUCAGAUGUGAAAUCCCCAGGCUCAACCUGGGAACUGCAUUUGAAACUCCCUUUCUUGAGUACCGGAGAGGAAAGUGGAAUUCCUGGUGUAGAGGUGAAAUUCGUAGAUAUCAGGAGGAACACCAGUGGCGAAAGGCGGCUUUCUGGACGGUAACUGACGCUGAGGAGCGAAAGCGUGGGUAGCAAACAGG
rnacentral:rRNA from 1 species